rnacentral:rRNA from 1 species
AUUGAACGCUGGCGGCAGGCCUAACACAUGCAAGUCGAGCGGUAGCACAGAGAGCUUGCUCUCGGGUGACGAGCGGCGGACGGGUGAGUAAUGUCUGGGAAACUGCCUGAUGGAGGGGGAUAACUACUGGAAACGGUAGCUAAUACCGCAUAACGUCGCAAGACCAAAGUGGGGGACCUUCGGGCCUCAUGCCAUCAGAUGUGCCCAGAUGGGAUUAGCUGGUAGGUGGGGUAACGGCUCACCUAGGCGACGAUCCCUAGCUGGUCUGAGAGGAUACCCAGCCACACUGGACCUGGGACACGGUCCAGACUCCUACGGGAGGCACCAGGUGGGAAUAUUGCACAAUGGGCGCAAGUCUGAUGCAGCCAGUACGCGUGUGUGAAGAAGGCCUUCGGGUUGUAAAGCACUUUCAGCGGGGAGGAAGGCGGUGAGGUUAAUAACCUCACUGAUUGACGUUACCCGCAGAAGAAGCACCGGCUAACUCCGUGCCAGCAGCCGCCGUAA